rnacentral:rRNA from 1 species
CCCUUAGAUGUCCUGGGCCGCACGCGCGCUACACUGAUGCAUGCAACGAGUAUAUAACCUUGGCCUGAAAGGCCUGGGUAAUCUUUUGAACGUGCAUCGUGAUAGGGAUAGAUUAUUGCAAUUAUUAAUCUUGAACGAGGAAUUCCUAGUAAACGCGAGUCAUCAGCUCGCAUUGAUUACGUCCCUGCCCUUUGUACACACCGCCCGUCGCACCUACCGAUUGAAUGGUUCGGUGAAGAUCUCGGACUUCGCGGUCUGCAGUUUCUGCGUUCCGUGCGGAAAGUUGCGCAAACCUUAACAUUUAGAGGAAGGAGAAGUCGUAACA